UAGCUUAGGAAGUCUGAAGCACUUGCUCAC
rnacentral:piRNA from 1 species